GGCCAGUUAGAUCAGUUGGUUAGAGUGUGGUGCUAAUAAUGCCAAGGUCACAGGUUAAAUCCCUGUACUGGCCA